AUGAGGUUAAAGAACAAGGCCAAAGUUUUCCGCACCGUAAAGCCCUUAGUUCAAGAAAGGUACAUUUUCCGCCUGCCUGGAAUGACCAGAAGGGAAGGUGGAUUCAGUGCUUUUAAUCAGCUUAAAAUGGCUCUUUUCACUAUUGUGGAUGGGAAGAUGGGGAAAGGGGUCAGCUUCAAAGACGUGGCAGGAAUGCACGAAGCCAAGCUGGAAGUGCGAGAGUUUGUGGAUUAUCUAAGAGCCCAGAGCGCUUCCUCCAGCUUGGCGCCAAGGUCCCAAAGGGCACGCUGCUGCUCGGGCCCCCUGCUGUGGGAAGACCCUGCUGGCCAAGGUGGUAGCCACAGAGGCCCAGGUGCCCUUCUUGGCAGUGGCUGGCCCGGAGUUCAUGGAGAUCAUUGGAGGCCUUGGUGCUACCCAUGUGUGGAGCCUCUCUUCAAGGAAGCCCAAGCCCGGGCUCCCUGCAUUAUCUACAUCGACAAGAUCGACGCGGUGUGCAAGAAGCGCUCCACCACCACGUCCGGCUUCUCCAACACCGAGGAGGAGCAGACGCUCAACCAGCUUCUGGUGGAAAUGGACGGAAUGGGCACCACAGACCAUGUCAUCGUCCUGGCGUCCAUGAACCGAGCCGACAUUUGGGUCUGUGCUCUGAUGAGGCCGGGCCGACUGGACCUGCAAGUCUUCUUGAUCUUCCCACGCUGCAGGAGAGACAGGAGAUUUUCGAGCAGCACCUGAAGAGCCUGAAGCUGACCCAGGCCAGCACCUUUUACUCCCAGCGUCUGGCAGAGCUGACUCCAGGAUUCAGUGGGGCUGACAUCGCCAACAUCUGCAAUGAGGCUGCGCUGCACGGGGCACGGGAGGGACACACGUCCGUGCACACACUCAGCUUCGAGCACGCCGUGGAGCGCGUCCUUGCAGGGACUGCCAAAAAGAGCAAGAUCCUGUCUAAGGAAGAACAGAAAGUGGUCGCAUUUCACGAGUCGGGCCACGCCUUGGUGGGCUGGAUGCUGGAGCACACGGAGGCCGUGAUGAGGGUCUCCGUAGCGCCUCGGACAAAUGCCGCCCUGGGCUUUGCUCAGAUGCUCCCCAGAGACCAGCACCUCUUCACCAAGGAGCAGCUGUUUGAGCGAAUAUGCACGGCCCUUUAGGGCCGGGCGUCGGAAGCAGUGACCUUCAACAGGGUCACUUCCGGGUCACAGGAUGACCUGAGGAAGGUCACUCGCAUUGCCUACUCCCUGGUGAAGCAGCUUGGGAUGGUACCUGACAUCGGGCCCAUCUCCUUCCCUGAGGCACAGGAGGGCCUCAUGGGCAUCGGGCGGCUCCCCUUCAGCCAAGGCCCUCAGCAGAUGAUGGAUCAUGAAGCAAGACUGCUGGUGGCCAAGGCCUGCAGAUACACCGAGAAGGUGCUGCAGGAGAACCUGGACAAGCUGCAGGUGCUGGCAAAUGCCCUUCUGGAAAAGGAGGUGAUAAACUAUGAGGACAUUGAGGCACUCAUUGGCCCAACGCCCCAUGGGCCGAAGAAAAUGAUCGCACCACAGAGGUGGAUCGAAGCCCAGAGGGAGAAGCAGGACUCUGGAGAGGAGGAGGCGGUGGAAGAGCCCAGCAGCCUCCACUUCAAGGCAAAGAGCCACCUCGACCAAAGUAGUUGGGACAUGUUGGCCGCACGUGCAGGUGAUCCAAGCAGUGAGCAGCUCACUCAGCCGCCCCGCGUUUCUUUUCAACUGAGCUUUGCACUUGCUCUCGGGGCCCUCAAUAGUCUCUGCACGCUCAGUAGUCUCUGCGCAGCGGCUUCAGAGAUCUCUUUAUUGAUUACCCUUUUCAUGACUGUAAAUUUCUCUGCGGAAAUGACUGACUGAGCCUUGUGUUUGUGCAUCGUUUCCCCAUGGGGAAGGUUAUUAGUGCUUUCCCAAGUGAGCAUGGGACACCUCGAGUUCCCAGGUUUACCGACAGUCCUUCCCACUGUGGCUGAGGCCACCCAGAGGCCGCACAGCAUUAAGACCCCUGUUCAUGCUGACGCCUGCACUGCCGUUCCAGUUCCCGUUGCUCCCUCCGAAUGCUAAGGGGAUCGGACAUGAAAGGACCCUCAGAGCCGAUUGUCCUGUCUCCAGAGGCUCUGUCAUGGAGCUCACUCAUCAAUGAGGCCACACAGGCCCAGAAACCGGACUCUAGAGGACUCAACACUGCCACCUGCGGCCAUGUGGACAGGUACAAGCUGAGGACUUCUAGCUGGUCUAGUCAUGCAGUGUUGGGAUACCUUGGUUUUUAUUGCCCUGAGAAUUGUUGAGAUACUUCACUAAUAAACUCUGUGGUUGGAAAAAUC